GUCCUCGUAGUUCAAUGGAUAGAGCACCGGCCUCCGAAGCCGGUAAUCCGGGUUCGACUCCCGGCGAGGGCACCA
rnacentral:tRNA from 1 species